UCUACGGGUGGCACCAGUGGGGGAUAUUGCACAAUGGGGGAAACCCUGAUGCAGCGACGCCGCGUGAGUGAAGAAGUAUUUCGGUAUGUAAAGCUCUAUCAGCAGGGAAGAAAAUGACAGUACCUGACCAAUAAUCCCCGGCUAACUACGUCCCAGCAGCCGCGGUAAUACGUAGGGGGCAAGCGUUAUCCGGAUUUACUGGGGUGAAAGGGGGCGUAGUCGGUUAUGUAAGUCUGGAGUGAAAGCCCGGGGCCCAACCCCGGGACUGCUUUGGAAACUGUGUAACUGGAGUACGGGAGGGGCAGGCGGAAUUCCUGGUGUAGCGGUGAAAUGCGUAGAUAUCAGGAGGAACACCGGCGGCGAAGGCGGCCUGCUGGACUGAAACUGACGUUGAGGCUCGAAAGCGUGGGGAGCAAACAGGAUUAGAUACCCGUGUAGUC
rnacentral:rRNA from 1 species